rnacentral:tRNA from 1 species
GGGUAACUAACUCAAUUUGGUAGAGUGUUUCGUUUACACCGAGAAAGUUAGUGGUUCGAGUCCGCUGUUGCCUU